GUUGUCAACAAUUUUAAACAUGAUAGGAAACACUCGUCCAUAACGUCUAGGAAACAAAAUCUCAGAUAUUCCAACCAAUAUAUACAAGCUACAAAAAACACCACAAGGUAUUUCUUUUUUAUGUUUCUUCAAUAAGAAUUUGUAAAUGAAAUUCAAAUCUUUGAUUCCCUUACCCAAGUAUUUAAAACAAUUACUAUUAUCCUGUGUAUGCUUUAAGUUUAUACCAUAACCCUCUGAACUCAACCCUAAUCCAUAACAAAAUUCCUUUUCGUUCAUGUUCACAACUUUAUCUCCAAUUACAAAACNN
rnacentral:lncRNA from 1 species